GACGAACGCUGGCGGCGUGCCUAAUACAUGCAAGUUGAGCGCUGAAGGUUGGUACUUGUACCGACUGGAUGAGCAGCGAACGGGUGAGUAACGCGUGGGGAAUCUGCCUUUGAGCGGGGGACAACAUUUGGAAACGAAUGCUAAUACCGCAUAAAAACUUUAAACACAAGUUUUAAGUUUGAAAGAUGCAAUUGCAUCACUCAAAGAUGAUCCCGCGUUGUAUUAGCUAGUUGGCGAGGUAAAGGCUCACCAAGGCGAUGAUACAUAGCCGACCUGAGAGGGUGAUCGGCCACAUUGGGACUGAGACACGGCCCAAACUCCUACGGGAGGCAGCAGUAGGGAAUCUUCGGCAAUGGACGAAAGUCUGACCGAGCAACGCCGCGUGAGUGAAGAAGGUUGUCGGAUCGUAAAACUCUGUUGGUAGAGAAGAACGUUGGUGAGAGUGGAAAGCUCAUCAAGUGACGGUAACUACCCAGAAAGGGACGGCUAACUACGUG
rnacentral:rRNA from 1 species